CUAUGAGAGGCACCAGUGGGGAAUAUUGCACAAUGGAGGAAACUCUGAUGCAGCAACGCCGCGUGGAGGAUGACACUUUUCGGAGCGUAAACUCCUUUUAUAUAGGAAGAAGAUGACGGUACUAUAUGAAUAAGCGCCGGCUAACUCCGUGCCAGCAGCCGCGGUAAUACGGAGGGCGCAAGCGUUACUCGGAAUCACUGGGCGUAAAGAGCGUGUAGGCGGAUUAAAAAGUCAGAAGUGAAAUCCUAUAGCUUAACUAUAGAACUGCUUCUGAAACUCUUAAUCUAGAAUAUGGGAGAGGUAGAUGGAAUUUCUGGUGUAGGGGUAAAAUCCGUAGAGAUCAGAAGGAAUACCGAUUGCGAAGGCGAUCUACUAGAACAUUAUUGACGCUGAGACGCGAAAGCGUGGGGAGCAAACAGGAUUAGAUACCCCAGUAGUC
rnacentral:rRNA from 1 species